rnacentral:rRNA from 1 species
ACUCAAAUGAAUAGACGGGGGCCCGCACAAGUGGUGGAGCAUGUGGUUUAAUUCGACGCUACGCGAAGAACCUUACCUGGGUUUGACAUCUACCGGAAUCCGUCAGAGAUGACGGCGUCCUUCGGGACUGGUAGACAGGUGCUGCAUGGCUGUCGUCAGCUCGUGCCGUGAGGUGUUGGGUUAAGUCCCGCAACGAGCGCAACCCUUGUCCUUAGUUGCCAUCGGGUAAAGCCGGGCACUCUGGGGAGACUGCCAGCACAAGCUGGAGGAAGGUGGGGAUGACGUCAAGUCAGCAUGGCCCUUACGUCCAGGGCUACACACGUGCUACAAUGGCCGGUACAGAGGGCUGCCAACCCGCGAGGGGGAGCGAAUCCCACAAAGCCGGUCUCAGUUCGGAUUGUAGGCUGCAAUUCGCCUGCAUGAAGUCGGAAUCACUAGUAACCGCAGAUCAGCUACGCUGCGGUGAAUACGUUCCCGGGCCUUGCACACACCGCCCGU